AUGGGAAUCCAAAGAGUUUGCGUCGUCGUUGCUCUGCUUUGUAUAUGCCUGAGAGAGGGUGGAGCUGUGACAUUCACGUUCCUGAACCGGUGCACGGGGACGGUGUGGCCGGGCAUCCUGUCCAACGCCGGGACGGCGAGGAUCGAGCCCACGGGCUUCGCGCUCCCGCCCGGCGCGGCGCGCGCGCUGCCGUUCCCGACCGGCUGGUCAGGCCGGAUGUGGGCGCGCACGGGCUGCGCGCAGGACGCGGCCGGGCGGUUCGCGUGCGCCACGGGCGACUGCGGCACCGGCACGCUGGAGUGCGCCGGCCGGGACGGGGCGACGCCCGCGACACUGGCGGAGUUCACGCUCGACGGCGGCGGGCACAACGACUUCUACGACGUGAGCCUCGUGGACGGCUACAACCUGCCGAUCCUGGUGGAGCCCGCGGGGAGCAGCCCCACCGGCACGACGUGCGCCGCGGCGGGCUGCUCAGCGGACCUGAACCUGCGGUGCCCCACGGAGCUCCGGUCUGCGGGCGGCGGCGCGUGCCGGAGCGCGUGCGACGCGUUCGGCAAGCCGGAAUACUGCUGCAGCGGCGCGUUCGCCAACCCCAACACCUGCCACCCCACAGCCUACUCGCAGGCGUUCAAGCUGGCGUGCCCGCGCUCCUACAGCUACGCCUUCGACGACCCCACCAGCACCUUCACCUGCGCCGGCGGCCGCGACUACACCAUCACCUUCUGCCCCGUCGCCACCCCAAGCCUGAAAUCGGCGGGUGGGGCGACGGUGGUGCCAACGCCGACGAUGCCGGGCUCGACAGGGUUCGCGCCCCCGAUGAUGCCGAGGCAAGCAGGUGGCCAAGCCGACGGCCAGGGCGUGAUACUGGGGGACAACUCCUGGCUCGCCAACAUGGCCACCGGCGACAUGUCGGCGGCGACGCCGAGGACGACGGCGAUGAUCCCGGCCGCGCCACUCGCACUGUUCAUCCUCCGGUUGCUUCUAUAG
rnacentral:rRNA from 1 species